GUGCCAGCCGCCGCGGUAAUACCGGCAGUCCGAGUGAUGGCCGCUAUUAUUGGGCCUAAAGCGUCCGUAGCUUGCCGUGCAAGUCUAUCGGGAAAUCGACGCGCUCAACGCGUCGGCUUCCGGUGGAAACUGCUCGGCUUGGGGCCGGAAGACUCAGCGGGUACGUCCGGGGUAGGAGUGAAAUCCUGUAAUCCUGGACGGACCACCAAUGGCGAAAGCACGCUGAGAAGCCGGACCCGACAGUGAGGGACGAAAGCCAGGGUCUCGAACCGGAUUAGAAACCCGGGUAGUCC
rnacentral:rRNA from 1 species